rnacentral:lncRNA from 1 species
CAAAUAAUGCAGAAAUUCUAUAUAUAGUUUUCACUUUAUCCUUACACAAUCCUGUUAUUUCUGAAAAAAAUGUUGGUGUUUGGUUUAAGAAUAGACGAGCUUGUGAAAGAAAGAGAAAGCACAUGUGUAUUGAGAAUCCUCAACUCAAAAAUCUGAUGCAUGAAGUGCAACCUUGUUCUGCAGAUCGACGUUUAUGAACUUUCAGCUUAACAUGUUGUAUUUAGUAGUGUUUAUGCUUCUUUGGGUGCUUGUAUUUGUUUUGAUUAGAUUUUGUCAAAAAAAUAAAAAUAAAAAUGAGGUGCUGAGAGUUUAGCUUACUAAUUUUUUUU